GUCUUGGUCUCCAGUGGCAAUGCCAGACUGUCUGCUUUCCACGUCACUCAACACCCCUGAGGAAUGAGGAUGAGGGAGCGAAGCCGACUCUGAGUCACAGAAACUCCUUCUGAAGGACAGGAAUACAUCACAGACUCCUUGGACAGGUCGGGAUUGAGGAG